CGCUUCGUAACCGGAGGGGUGAUGGGUGGUUCGCAGUCACUGUCGUUUCUCCAAAAGAGUUGCCACUCCUUGCUGGUGAUCAAGGCUGCAGCCGACACUCCUGAGACAGUUAUUCAUCAGUCAGAGGUGCGAUCAGCUCGUGGCACUGCCUCAUGCCUGCAUCCGACACUCCCGAGGGAGGUAAUCAUCAGUCAGAGGUGCGAUCAGCUCGUGGCACUGCCUCAUGGCUGCAUCCGACACUCCCGAGGGAGUUAAUCAUCAGUCAGAGGUGCGAUCAGCUCG